rnacentral:rRNA from 1 species
UGGGGAAUAUUGGACAAUGGGGGCAACCCUGAUCCAGCAAUGCCGCGUGAGUGAAGAAGGCCUUCGGGUUGUAAAGCUCUUUUGUCAGGGAAGAAACGGUAGUAGCGAAUAACUACUACUAAUGACGGUACCUGAAGAAUAAGCACCGGCUAACUACGUGCCAGCAGCCGCGGUAAUACGUAGGGUGCAAGCGUUAAUCGGAAUUACUGGGCGUAAAGCGUGCGCAGGCGGUUGUGUAAGUCAGAUGUGAAAUCCCCGGGCUCAACCUGGGAAUUGCAUUUGAGACUGCACGGCUAGAGUGUGUCAGAGGGGGGUAGAAUUCCACGUGUAGCAGUGAAAUGCGUAGAUAUGUGGAGGAAUACCGAUGGCGAAGGCAGCCCCCUGGGAUAACACUGACGCUCAUGCACGAAAGCGUGGGGAGCAAACAGGAUUAGAUACCCACGUAGUCCCUGAGCGGGCUGGCAAGGCGCAU